GUGGCUUCUUUAAUUUAUCUUUUUAAAAUCCGAAAAUUUUAAUAAAAUAUUUUCGUGAUGGAAAGAAGCCUAAACAGAAUUGUUCUCCUCGCUAUCCGGUGCUUCAAAUUUUAUGUGGCAUUUGGACGUCGGGGAACCACAUCU
rfam:Gossypium arboreum cultivar AKA8401 contig_10071_3, whole genome shotgun sequence.